UACGUAGGGGGCAAGCGUUGUCCGGAAUCAUUGGGCGUAAAGAGCGUGUAGGCGGCUCGGUAAGUCCGCUGUGAAAGUCCAGGGCUCAACCCUGGAAUGCCGGUGGAAACUGUCGAGCUAGAGUCCGGAAGAGGCGAGUGGAAUUCCUGGUGUAGCGGUGAAAUGCGUAGAUAUCGUCUGGAACGCCGAAGGUGAAAACAGCUCGCUGGGGCUGCGCUGACGCUGAGACACGAAAGCCAGGGGAGCGAACGGG
rnacentral:rRNA from 1 species